GCAGGAUCUCUAUCAAGUUACCAGCUUUUGCAAAUUUCAUUAAAAAUUUGUCGUUUUUUCCCGAGAAUUUUUAGUUCAUUGUGUAGACGUUACAGAUUGGAGUAUUGAGACAACAUGUCCACUGAUCAAGAAACACAAUUUAUUUUCUUCUGUAAUGGACGAAAGAUUACUGACAACAGUGUUGAUCCAAGCAUGAUGUUGCUCAGUUAUCUGCGACUGAAAU